ACAAGUCCUCAACUCCUCGACUUCUACCAUCCAAACAGGAAAUGUCACUUCUCACUUCAACCUUGUUUUUAACCCAGUGCUGUUUCUACCUUUGGGUCCUAUUCUCAACACAGUGGACAGAGUCAUCCAUUUAAAAUGUGAAGAAGUUGAGCCUCAGAGAUGUUGAGUGACUUGUCCGAGAUGACACAGGGAUGAUCUCCAGGAUAUUCUUUAGCUGGAGGAUAGAUGGUUUCUCUAUACAUCAGCAUACUGGUAUCAGUGGUCAUCAGAAUGAUGGUACCAACUGUUACUACUUCUGUACCUUAACUUCUCCACUUCAGACAUGGUCUACAUUUGUGCAAUAAAAAUCUGUUUAUAGAUGAA